UCUGCCUCCGCUGCCGCCAUGGCACCCGUGAAAAAGCUUGCGGAGAAGCGGGACAAAAGAAAAGCAGGUUCUGAGGUUCGCUCUUGAUUGCACCCACACUGCAGAAGAAGAAAUCACGGAUGCUGCUAAUUUUGAGCAGUUUUUGCAAGAAUCACAGUGAACGGAAAAGCCGGGAAUCUCGGGGGUGGGGUUGUGACCAUCGAGAGGAGCAAGAGCAAGAUCACUGUCACUUUUGAGGUGCCUUUUUCUAAAAGGCAUUUGAAAUAUCUCACCAAAAAAUAUUUGAACAAGAAUAAUCUACGUGAUUGGUUUUGUGUAGUUGCUAACAGCAAAGAGAGUUACCAAUUACGUUACUUCCAAAAUAACCAGGACGAAGAUGAGGAUUAAAAUUCAUUUAUCUGGAAUAUUUUGUAUGAGUUCUUGAACAAAACUUGGGG